GAUCAUGGCUCAGGACGAACGCUGGCGGCGCGCCUAACACAUGCAAGUCGAACGAGCAAGAGAGAGCUUGCUUUCUCGAGCGAGUGGCGAACGGGUGAGUAACGCGUGAGGAACCUGCCUCAAAGAGGGGGACAACAGUUGGAAACGACUGCUAAUACCGCAUAAGCCCACGGCUCGGCAUCGAGCAGGGGGAAAAGGAGCAAUCCGCUUUGAGAUGGCCUCGCGUCCGAUUAG
rnacentral:rRNA from 1 species